CAAAUUAGAGCUUGUAAAAAGUAUUUCAUUUACAUUGAAAAGAAAAUUGAAUAAAAUUCAGUUAAUUUGA
rnacentral:tRNA from 1 species